GGUUUAAUCAUGUGCUUGACCUAAAUCCAUUAGGAUUUCCACCAAAUCUUUAUUGAUUUAGAACUUCUCAGGCCUAAUCAAAAGUCCAUGAUCAAUUUUUUUUUGUGUGUGGCCCAUUGGAUUUCACAUCUAGCCAGCAGUAGGUCUAGACUUGAGUCAACCCAAUCUGAUUAGGUCUAAGACUAAAUCAGCCCAUGCGUUACAAUUAAUUAGAACUCUUCUAAUUAAAUUAUUGAAUUAAACUUUUUAAUUCAUGAAAACCUACAAGUCAAGAUUGACGUCUAGCAACAUGUAAUGACUAUCUAGAAGAUGUGAAAUUUGACGAAAUACCAAAAUAUCCUUCUGUGGUGAGUUAUCAUGCAAUUCAAUCCUUCGAUCACACAACAUCCCAGACAUAUCAUAUUCAUGGAAUCAUGUCAAGCCCAAAUAUCUAUCCAUAUGUAUCUCGAUCUGAUGAUGAUGACUCGGUUGAUGAAUCAUUAAAAAUUCUUUCUAAUAUUUAUUCUACUCUGAUCAGAGAUUUCCUGAGUCAUCAUCCUAUGAGAUCACAUAGAUGUUUUCUUCUAUUAUAAGGAAUGAUCGAUUCUUUAUUGACCACUUACAACAUCCAUACACACUUCACCAUACCCAG
rnacentral:lncRNA from 1 species